UACUGACUGAGCUAGCCAGGCACCCCUCAAUAAUUUCUUAAUAUCAUCAAAUACCCAUUAUCUGUUUAACUCAGCAAGAAGAACAUAUUCGGAUUUCCUACAUUAUAUUUGUCAAUAAAAUUUUAAAUCUGCUAAAUAUUACAAUGUAUCUGACAGUCACCUGAAGAAAAAACAAGUUGUUUUAUGCUAUGAAGAAUGCAAAAAGCACCACCUAGUGGCCAGUGGUUCCAACAAACAGAAGCACAGUAUUCUGCCGCUCAAGAAAAUCUUCUGAGGAAAAACUAAAGAUCAAAUUGAAGCAAGGCCGGGAGUUGGAAGUUUACAUGGUUAAUUUCCCACUUGUGGGUGCCUGGGUGGCUCAGUUGUUAAGCGUCUGCCUUCGGCUCAGGUCAUGAUCCCAGGGUCCCUGCUCAGCGGGAAGCCUGCUUCUCCCUCUCCCACUCCCCCUGCUUGUGUUCCCUCUCUUGCUGUGUCUCUCUCUGUCAAAUAAAUAAAAUCUUUACAAAAAUUUUUUUUUUUACCACUUGCUCCCCAAGGUCUUCCCUGAAGUCUGAA